UACGUAGGGUGCAAGCGUUAAUCGGAAUUACUGGGCGUAAAGCGUGCGCAGGCGGUUUUUGUAAGUUUGUCGUGAAAUCCCCGGGCUUAACCUGGGAAUUGCGAUGAAGACUGCAAGGCUAGAAUCUGGCAGAGGGGGGGUAGAAUUCCACGUGUAGCAGUGAAAUGCGUAGAGAUGUGGAGGAACACCGAUGGCGAAGGCAGCCCCCCUGGGCCUGCACUGACGCUCAUGCACGAAAGCGUGGGGAGCAACAGG
rnacentral:rRNA from 1 species